rnacentral:rRNA from 1 species
GGAGUUUGGGCCGUGUCUCAGUCCCAAUGUGGCCGGUCACCCUCUCAGGUCGGCUACGGAUCAUCACCUUGGUAGGCCGUUACCCUGCCAACUAGUUAAUCCGACGCGGGCCCAUCCUGCACCGAUAAAUCUUUCCACCCCCUGCCAUGCGGCAGCGUGUGCAUAUGCGGUAUUAACAGCCGUUUCCAGCUGUUAUCCCCCUGUGCAGGGCAGGUUACCCACGUGUUACUCACCCAUCCGCCGCUAAGAUAUGGGGAUCAUCUGAAAGAAUCUCCCAAUAUCUCCGCUCGACUUGCAUGUGUUAGGCACGCCGCCAGCGUUCAUC